rnacentral:RNase_P_RNA from 1 species
CCAGACGGCUGGACGGUCGCUGUUGCAAGGGGGUGCGCUCUUCGGGGCUUGCUCGCGCGUGAUGGAGGAAAGUCCGGGCUCCACGGAAGAACGGUGCCGGCUAACGGCCGGCGGGGGCGACCCUAGGGAAAGUGCCACAGAAAACAAACCGCCCGCACGGGGUGGCGGCGGCAACGCGGUCAUCUUGCAGGUAAGGGCGAAACGGUGCGGCAAGAGCGCACCGCGCUUCCGGCAACGGCGGCGGCAGGGCAAACCCCACCGGGAGCAAGACCGAAUAGGGACGACAGGGAUCGGCGCUUCGGCGUCAGGUCCUGGAGGCUCUUCCGCCUCGUCGUCCGGGUUGGUCGCGCGAGGCACGCAGCAAUGCGUGUCCCAGAGGAAUGAUCGUCCCGCAGGUUCGCCUGCGGACAGAACCCGGCUUACAGGCCGUCUGGCACU